AUCCCAGACUCCUACGGGAGGCAGCAGUCGAGAAUCAUUCACAAUGGGGGGAACCCUGAUGCAGCGACGCCGCGUGAGUGAAGAAGUAUUUCGGUAUGUAAAGCUCUAUCAGCAGGGAAGAAAAUGACGGUACCUGACUAAGAAGCCCCGGCUAACUACGUGCCAGCAGUCGCGGUAAUACGUAGGGGGCAAGCGUUAUCCGGAUUUACUGGGUGUAAAGGGAGCGUAGACGGCAUGGCAAGUCUGAAGUGAAAGCCCGGGGCUCAACCGCGGGACUGCUUUGGAAACUGUUAAGCUGGAGUGCAGGAGAGGUAAGUGGAAUUCCUAGUGUAGCGGUGAAAUGCGUAGAUAUUAGGAGGAACACCAGUGGCGAAGGCGGCUUACUGGACUGUAACUGACGUUGAGGCUCGAAAGCGUGGGGAGCAAACAGGAUUAGAUACCCCCGUAC
rnacentral:rRNA from 1 species